UACGUAGGGUGCAAGCGUUGUCCGGAAUUAUUGGGCGUAAAGAGCUCGUAGGCGGUGUGUCACGUCGGCCGUGAAAACCUGCAGCUUAACUGUGGGCGUGCGGUCGAUACGGGCAUCACUGGAGUUCGGCAGGGGAGACUGGAAUUCCUGGUGUAGCGGUGAAAUGCGCAGAUAUCAGGAGGGAACACCGGUGGGCGGAAGGCGGGUCUCUGGGCCUUACCUGACGCUGGAGGC
rnacentral:rRNA from 1 species